UACAGAGGGUGCGAGCGUUAAUCGGAAUUACUGGGCGUAAAGCGCGCGUAGGCGGCUUUGCAAGUCGGGUGUGAAAUCCCCAGGCUUAACCUGGGAACUGCAUUCGAGACUGCAUUGCUAGAGUAUGGGAGAGGGAAGUGGAAUUUCCGGUGUAGCGGUGAAAUGCGUAGAUAUCGGAAGGAACAUCAGUGGCGAAAGCGACUUCCUGGACCAAUACUGACGCUCAUGUGCGAAAGCAUGGGGAUCAAACAGG
rnacentral:rRNA from 1 species